GCACGUAGUUAGCCGGUGCUUAUUCUUACGGUACCGUCAUGGACCCCCUUUAUUAGAAGGAGUCUUUUCGUUCCGUACAAAAGCAGUUUACAACCCGAAGGCCUUCAUCCUGCACGCGGCAUGGCUGGAUCAGGCUUUCGCCCAUUGUCCAAAAUUCCCCA
rnacentral:rRNA from 1 species